UCGAACGAUUAAGACUCCCUUCGGGGAGUGUAUAAAGUGGCGCACGGGUGAGUAACACGUAAGUAAUCUACCUUCGAGUGGGGAAUAACGUUCGGAAACGAACGCUAAUACCGCAUAAUGCAGCGGCAUCGCAAGAUGACAGUUGUUAAAGGAAUUUAUUUCGCUUGAAGAGGAGCUUGCGGCAGAUUAGCUAGUUGGUAAGGUAACGGCUUACCAAGGCUACGAUCUGUAUCCGGCCUGAGAGGGCGGUCGGACACACUGACACUGAAUAACGGGUCAGACUCCUACGGGAGGCAGCAGUCGGGAAUUUUGGGCAAUGGGCGAAAGCCUGACCCAGCAACGCCGCGUGAAGGAUGAAGUAUUUCGGUAUGUAAACUUCGAAAGAAUGGGAAGAAUAAAUGACGGUACCAUUUAUAAGCUCCGGCUAACUACGUGCCAGCAGCCGCGGUAAUACGUAUGGAGCAAGCGUUGUUCGGAUUUACUGGGCGUAAAGGGCGCGUAGGCGGCGUGUUAAGUCAGCUGUGAAAUCUCCAAGCUCAACUUGGAACGGCCAGCUGAUACUGAUGUGCUAGAGUGCAGAACGGGCAAUCGGAAUUCUUGGUGUAGCGGUGAAUGCGUAGAUAUCAAGAGACACCUGGGGUGAAGACGGGUUGCUGGGCUGACACUGACGCUGAGC
rnacentral:rRNA from 1 species